UUGAACGCUGGCGGCAUGCCUUACACAUGCAAGUCGAACGGUAACAGGUCUUCGGAUGCUGACGAGUGGCGAACGGGUGAGUAAUACAUCGGAACGUGCCCGAUCGUGGGGGAUAACUACGCGAAAGCGUGGCUAAUACCGCAUACGCCCUGAGGGGGAAAGCGGGGGACCUUCGGGCCUCGCGCGAUUGGAGCGGCUGAUGUCGGAUUAGCUGGUUGGUGGGGUAAAGGCCUACCAAGGCGACGAUCCGUAGCUGGUCUGAGAGGAUGAUCAGCCACACUGGGACUGAGACACGGCCCAGACUCCUACGGGAGGCAGCAGUGGGGAAUUUUGGACAAUGGGCGCAAGCCUGAUCCAGCCAUGCCGCGUGAGUGAAGAAGGCCUUCGGGUUGUAAAGCUCUUUCAGACGGAAAGAAAUCGGGCGGGUGAAUAGCCUGCCUGGAUGACGGUACUGUCAGAAGAAGCACCGGCUAACUACGU
rnacentral:rRNA from 1 species